GAUCUACAACUCUUGUUCCCAAAUGCAUCUCAGCUCAAUAAACCGUUUCCACAAACCCCCAGAUGAAAUUUAGCAAACAAAAAAGGCUUUGCUAUCCAUAUCUGCCAAUAAGGCCUGAUGCCAUAACCAUUUAGCCCUCACUGGAAAACUUAUGAAGGUGUGGAGCCAAUAGGUGAUGUGUGCGUCAAGGGUAAAUAAAAAUGUUUUCCAAGUGGUUUUGAAGCUAUUUACUAAAAUAAGUGAAAAUAUUUCUGAUAAAAACAGAAUUCCCCGCCUCUAUGACUAAGGCAUCUUCAGUAGUGUCCUUCCGGAUUCAUGGCUUUGCCCACAGGGUGACAAAAUGCGCUGUAAAUGGAGAAUGCUGCGGCCGCGGUUCAGCCACGAUAUUGGAGUCUGUUUGUCAGGACCCAUAUCUUUAAAAUCUCUUUUGGUUGUCUAGAUUUUUGCCUGCUUGAUGUAAAAAAAAA